rnacentral:rRNA from 1 species
AUACGGAGGAUCCGAGCGUUAUCCGGAUUUAUUGGGUUUAAAGGGAGCGUAGGUGGACAGUUAAGUCAGUUGUGAAAGUUUGCGGCUCAACCGUAAAAUUGCAGUUGAUACUGGCUGCCUUGAGUACAGUAGAGGUGGGCGGAAUUCGUGGUGUAGCGGUGAAAUGCUUAGAUAUCACGAAGAACUCCGAUUGCGAAGGCAGCUCACUGGACUGCAACUGACACUGAUGCUCGAAAGUGUGGGUAUCAAACAGGAUUAGAUACCCUGGUAGUCCACACAGUAAACGAUGAAUACUCGCUGUUUGCGAUAUACAGUAAGCGGCCAAGCGAAAGCAUUAAGUAUUCCACCUGGGGAGUACGCCGGCAACGGUGAAACUCAAAUGAAUUGGCGGGG